rnacentral:rRNA from 1 species
AUAAAGUAGCAAUACUUUGGUGGCGACCGGCGCACGGGUGAGUAACGCGUAUGCAACCCACUUAUCAGAGGGGAAUAACCCGGCGAAAGUCGGACUAAUACCGCAUAAAACAGGGACACCGCAUGGUGAUAUUUGUUAAAGAAAUUCGCUGAUAGAUGGGCAUGCGUUCCAUUAGGUAGUUGGUGAGGUAACGGCUCACCAAGCCGACGAUGGAUAGGGGAACUGAGAGGUUGGUCCCCCACACUGGUACUGAGACACGGACCAGACUCCUACGGGAGGCAGCAGUGAGGAAUAUUGGUCAAUGGGCGAGAGCCUGAACCAGCCAAGUCGCGUGAAGGAAGAAGGAUCUAUGGUUCGUAAACUUCUUUUGCAGGGGAAUAAAGUGCAGGACGUGUCCUGUUUUGUAUGUACCCUGAGAAUAAGGAUCGGCUAACUCCGUGCCAGCAGCCGCGGUAAUACGGAGGAUCCGAGCGUUAUCCGGAUUUAUUGGGUUUAAAGGGUGCGUAGGUGGUUUGAUAAGUCAGCGGUGAAAGUUUGCAGCUUAACUGUAAAAAUGCCGUUGAAACUGUCGGACUUGAGUGUAAAUGAGGUAGGCGGAAUGCGUGGUGUAGCGGUGAAAUGCUUAGAUAUCACGAAGAACUCCGAUUG